UACGUAGGGUGCAAGCGUUAAUCGGAAUUACUGGGCGUAAAGCGUGCGCAGGCGGUGAUGUAAGACCGAUGUGAAAUCCCCGGGCUUAACCUGGGAACUGCAUUGGUGACUGCAAGGCUUGAGUGUGUCAGAGGGAGGUGGAAUUCCGCGUGUAGCAGUGAAAUGCGUAGAUAUGCGGAGGAACACCGAUGGCGAAGGCAGCCUCCUGGGAUAACACUGACGCUCAUGCACGAAAGCGUGGGGAGCAAACAGG
rnacentral:rRNA from 1 species